UACGUAGGGUGCAAGCGUUGUCCGGAAUUAUUGGGCGUAAAGAGCUCGUAGGCGGUCUGUCGCGUCGGUCGUGAAAACUUGGGGCUUAACCCUGAGCUUGCGGUCGAUACGGGCAUGACUGGAGUUCAGUAGGGGAGACUGGAAUUCCUGGUGUAGCGGUGAAAUGCGCAGAUAUCAGGAGGAACACCGGUGGCGAAGGCGGGUCUCUGGGCCGAUACUGACGCUGAGGAGCGAAAGCGUGGGGAGCGAACAGG
rnacentral:rRNA from 1 species